rnacentral:tRNA from 1 species
GAGGCUAUACCUCCGUGGAGGAGUGCAUGCCUGACAUGCAUGAGGUCCUGGGUUCAACCCCCAGGAACUCCA